GACGAACGCUGGCGGCGUGCCUAACACAUGCAAGUCUACGAGAAAAGGGUAGCAAUAUCCUGAGUAAAGUGGCGCACGGGUGAGUAACACGUAGGCAAUCUGCCUUCAGGACGGGAACAACCCCGAGAAAUCGAGGCUAAUACCCGAUAAUGCAGCGGCACCGCAUGGUGACAGUUGUUAAAUGCCCGCAAGGGCGCCCGAAGAUGAGCCUGCGCCCCAUUAGGUAGUGGUGAGGUAACGGCCCACCAAGCCUACGAUGGGUAGCUGAUCUGAGAGGAUGAUCAGCCACACUGGAACUGAGACACGGUCCAGACUCCGUACGGGAGGCAGCAGUGAGGAAUAUU
rnacentral:rRNA from 1 species